rnacentral:rRNA from 1 species
AGAGUUUGAUCCUGGCUCAGGAUGAACGCUAGCGGCAGGCCUAACACAUGCAAGUCGAACGAACUCUUCGGAGUUAGUGGCGGACGGGUGAGUAACACGUGGGAACGUGCCUUUAGGUUCGGAAUAACUCAGGGAAACUUGUGCUAAUACCGAAUGUGCCCUUCGGGGGAAAGAUUUAUCGCCUUUAGAGCGGCCCGCGUCUGAUUAGCUAGUUGGUAAGGUAAUGGCUUACCAAGGCUACGAUCAGUAGCUGGUCUGAGAGGAUGACCAGCCACAUUGGGACUGAGACACGGCCCAAACUCCUACGGGAGGCAGCAGUGGGGAAUCUUGCGCAAUGGGCGAAAGCCUGACGCAGCCAUGCCGCGUGUAUGAUGAAGGUCUUAGGAUUGUAAAAUACUUUCACCGGUGAAGAUAAUGACUGUAGCCGGAGAAGAAGCCCCGGCUAACUUCGUGCCAGCAGCCGCGGUAAUACGAAGGGGGCUAGCGUUGCUCGGAAUUACUGGGCGUAAAGGGAGCGUAGGCGGACAUUUAAGUCAGAGGUGAAAUCCCGGAGCUUAACUUCGGAACUGCCUUUGAUACUGGGUGUCUUGAGUGUGAGAGAGGUAUGUGGAACUCCGAGUGUAGAGGUGAAAUUCGUAGAUAUUCGGAAGAACACCAGUGGCGAAGGCGACAUACUGGCUCAUUACUGACGCUGAGGCUCGAAAGCGUGGGGAGCAAACAGGAUUAGAUACCCUGGUAGUCC